UUGUUGCAGUUAAAAAGCUCGUAGUUGGACCUUGGGCAAUGGGGUCAGGUCGGCCGCAAGGCGUGACUUGAUCGCGGCGCCUCUUUGGGGUGGGGAUUCGUCGUUCGCGGCGAGUCAGCAGCCCCGGGUUACUGUGAAGAAAUUAGAGUGUUUAAAGCAGGCGUUUGCUUGGAUACAUCAGCAUGGAAUAACAAGAUAGGACCGAGUUCUACUUGUUGGUUUGGGGGCUUUGGUAAUGAUUAAUAGGGCCAGUUGGGGGCAUUAGUAUUCAGUAGUCAGAGGUGAAAUUCUUGGAUUUACUGAAGACUAACUAGUGCGAAAGCAUUUGCCAAGGAUGUUUUCAUUAAUCAAGAACGAAAGUUAGGGGAUCGAAGACGAUCAGAUACCGUCGUAGUCUUAACUAUAAACGAUGCCGACUAAGGAUCGGCAGAAGUCGUUUGCGACUCUGUCGGCACUUUGUGAGAAAUCAAAGUUUUUGGGUUCUGGGGGGGAGUAUGGCCGCAAGGCUGAAACUUAAAGGAAUUGACGGAAGGGCACCACCAGGAGUGGAGCCUGCGGCUUAAUUUGACUCAACACGGGAAAACUCACCAGGUCCGGACAUAGUAAGGAUUGACAGAUUGAGAGCU
rnacentral:rRNA from 1 species